AUGCAGGGGUCUUUUGGGGUCUCUGAUGGGCACAGAGAUGUGAUGAGGGGAGGGGAGAGCUACGUGACUUUAGGUCCCUCCAGUGCCGACACCAACCACCCGGUGGGGUUGUGCCCCACCCCAUCUCCACUGUCCAAAGGGGGAUCCAGAGCGCAGAAGGAGACGAGAUCGGACCCCAACUCCCUCUUUGCCCUCGAAAUUCUCCCCACCCCAGACCCAAACCCUCUCUCAGGCUCAGAAAGCAAAGCGCACGAACGUUCCCGGGUCCAGGAAGCGAGGUGGGAAGUGGAGUGCCUUUCCUCCCAAGGCCAACGCGGAGGGAAUUCGAGUUGCCAGGAAUCAAAGUUGCCGCGCGUCCAGCCGCGGGCUGGGAGUGGGACCCAGGAUGCUGGCUGGGAGCCGGGGAUGGAAGGAGGCCCCGGGCGCCAGCCGAGGGCGAUGGCCGUGCCGAGAACAAGUGGUUCGGCGGCUACGGUCGCGACCCCACAGCUCCAACUUUCCCACCGCGUGGCGGGUGAACGGCUCGGAGAAGGCGAGGGAAGCGGGGAAGGAAGGGGCGGUGCGUGGCUCUUGGUACCGUGUGCAUGUGCGGAGCGGCGCCGCGCCUUGGGCUCUGCUCUCCGCUGGAUCGGCCCCGGAAGGCCGCCUGCUCCAGUGCUGACCACCGCCGCGUCUCGCCGCCGGUGCGAAGGCUCAUCCGCGGCGCGCUGGCCGCUCCUGGGUCCCCUUCGGCCGUCCGCUCGCUGUUGGCCGCUUGCCGGACGCAACUUCAGGCGCGCCGCGGGCUCAGACGAGGCGCGCCCCAAUCGUCCCGAAGCCCGGCACCUCGGCGCCCCAUGCCCGGGGCCGGACCGCCCCGCCCCGCCGGGAUCAGCGCCCAGCAGCCGUCGGACGCGUCUUCUCACCAAGCAUCGCGCUCGCAGCCCGCGCCCCUCUUUCUGGAGCCGCCGCCGCGGCUCAAGUCCGCGAUCAACUUUCCCUCGCUUCCUCCGCCCUGCUCGGCCCCCGCCACCCAGACCCCGCCUCCUGACGCUCCCUCCCUCACCUCCCGCCUCGCCCAGCCCCUGCCCGCCUCGCCGCGCCCCACUGCCCACCCUCCCACCACGGUGGGCGCCAGGAUCCCUGAGCCCCCUACCCCUGACCCCGCUCGGACCCCCGGGAGCAGCGCGAAGCUGGGGCCAGGCGCUUAGGGCAUGA
rnacentral:lncRNA from 1 species